rnacentral:rRNA from 1 species
UACGAAGGGGGCUAGCGUUGCUCGGAGUCACUGGGCGUAAAGCGCACGUAGGCGGAUUUUUAAGUCAGGGGUGAAAUCCUGGAGCUCAACUCCAGAACUGCCUUUGAUACUGGGAAUCUCGAGUCCGGGAGAGGUGAGUGGAACUGCGAGUGUAGAGGUGAAAUUCGUAGAUAUUCGCAAGAACACCAGUGGCGAAGGCGGCUCACUGGCCCGGUACUGACGCUGAGGUGCGAAAGCGUGGGGAGCAAACAGG